AUGAAUUCAGUUACAAACUCAAUCCCCCCAUUAGAUUUUCAGAAUCGGUUAAAAGAUGGAGGGCCUAGAUUAAUUCAGUUAACAGUUAGUUUUUCUCUUGUCCUUCUGUUAGAAAUUCUGUUAUCAAGCUUAUUAGAGAAGUUUCUAGUUUUGCUGAGCUGGAACGUUAUUUCUAAAUGGACUGUGAAGUUUGAACAUGUUUGGAUUGGAGUUAGCAUAAUCAGGGCACGGCUUGAAGAAUGGUUGAAAAUGGCUUAUGGCAUGGAGCUUAAGGGCACUAGGACUAUAUUUCUUUAUGAAAUUUCCUGCUGUAAAGUCUUUGUAUCUUUUGUUUCUGGUUUUCUUUUCUUUUUCAACUGUAUAUAUAAAAGAAAUAAAAAACUUUCUGGUUCGUCCAUCAGCUACCACUUGACUAUAUAA